UACGGAGGGUGCGAGCGUUGUCCGGAAUCACUGGGCGUAAAGGGCGCGUAGGCGGCGCGACAAGUCAAUGGUGAAAGCCCGAGGCUCAACUUCGGGUCGGCCACUGAUACUGUUGGGCUUGAGCACUGUAGAGGCAGGUGGAAUUCCGGGUGUAGCGGUGAAAUGCGUAGAUAUCCGGAGGAACACCGGUGGCGAAGGCGGCUUCCUGGACCGACACUGACGCUGAGGCGCGAAAGCUAGGGGAGCAAACGGG
rnacentral:rRNA from 1 species